UGAAAGAAAGCUUCAUCCGCUUCGCCAAAUCCAUGGGCCUCACAGAUCAACACAUCAUCUUCGCUAUUCCCUUCGCUGAGUGCAUGGAUAUGUGAGCAAACGUGAGGGCACCUGCUCAGCUGUCCCCACCAGCCUGGGCACCACUGAGAUCGCCUGGAGACCAUUGUCACUGCACAGGCCACCGG